rnacentral:rRNA from 1 species
UACGUAGGGUGCGAGCGUUAAUCGGAAUUACUGGGCGUAAAGAGUGCGUAGGCGGUCCCGCAAGUCCGCUGUGAAAGCCCCGGGCUUAACCUGGGAAUGGCAGUGGAAACUAUGGGACUUGAAUCUGGCAGAGGGGGGUGGAAUGCCACGUGUAGCAGUGAAAUGCGUAGAGAUGUGGCGGAACACCGAUGGCGAAGGCAGCCCCCUGGGCUGAGAUUGACGCUCAGGCACGAAAGCGUGGGGAGCAAACGGG